CCUACGGGAGGCAGCAGUGAGGAAUAUUGGUCAAUGGACGAGAGUCUGAACCAGCCAAGUAGCGUGAAGGAUGACUGCCCUAUGGGUUGUAAACUUCUUUUAUAUGGGAAUAAAAUGUUCCACGUGUGGGAUUUUGUAUGUACCAUAUGAAUAAGGAUCGGCUAACUCCGUGCCAGCAGCCGCGGUAAUACGGAGGACCUGAGCGUUAUCCGGAUUUAUUGGGUUUAAAGGGAGCGUAGGUGGAUUGUUAAGUCAGUUGUGAAAGUUUGCGGCUCAACCGUAAAAUUGCAGUUGAAACUGGCAGUCUUGAGUACAGUAGAGGUGGGCGGAAUUCGUGGUGUAGCGGUGAAAUGCUUAGAUAUCACGAAGAACUCCGAUUGCGAAGGCAGUUCACUGGACUGCAACUGACACUGAGGCUCGAAAGUGUGGGUAUCAAACAGGAUUAGAUACCCGUGUAGUC
rnacentral:rRNA from 1 species